AUCUCUGAAGCUUGUUGGAAUGGAUUUUUUAGAUUUUUUGAAAAUUACGUUUUUUUUUGCUAGCCUUCAAAAUGGAACAUAUUUAGGCAUAUGUGUACGCUUUAAUAGAAUAAGAUUCUAAUGGGAAUUUUAAUGUUUCAGCUGUAGAAUAUGGAUAUAAAUAAUGAUUGGGGCAACUUCAAAACUACUUUGUCAACUAUCCAGAGAUUCAGGGGAAUGAAAUCUUAGACUAUUUAUAAUUAAGAUGUUCCUUCAGAGUUGAAAACAACUACAUUCUAGCUUGAACGUCCCACAAGAAGAUGUGGGAUGGCAGCAGGCAGGGGUCUAACCUAGGAUCAUGGAGACCACCAAACGAUAGUCCAGAGUGUAUAUGAUUAAUUGAGUAGACAAAGAAAGGAUGGAUUACUGGAGCUAAAAGAAGGCAUAAUUUUAACAAUAGAUUAC